rnacentral:rRNA from 1 species
GAUGAACGCUGGCGGCGUGCCUAAUACAUGCAAGUCGAGCGAACGGACGAGAAGCUUGCUUUUCUGAUGUUAGCGGCGGACGGGUGAGUAACACGUGGAUAACCUACCUAUAAGACUGGGAUAACUUCGGGAAACCGGAGCUAAUACCGGAUAAUAUUUUGAACCGCAUGGUUCAAAAGUGAAAGACGGUCUUGCUGUCACUUAUAGAUGGAUCCGCGCUGCAUUAGCUAGUUGGUAAGGUAACGGCUUACCAAGGCAACGAUGCAUAGCCGACCUGAGAGGGUGAUCGGCCACACUGGAACUGAGACACGGUCCAGACUCCUACGGGAGGCAGCAGUAGGGAAUCUUCCGCAAUGGGCGAAAGCCUGACGGAGCAACGCCGCGUGAGUGAUGAAGGUCUUCGGAUCGUAAAACUCUGUUAUUAGGGAAGAACAUAUGUGUAAGUAACUGUGCACUUCUUGACGGUACCUAAUCAGAAAGCCACGGCUAACUACGUG